GUGUGCUCUCCACGCUUAAGUGGCAUACGCCUAUUUAUGGAGGGCUCUCACUUCACCGUGAGUCCCAACAAUCUCCUCUAGUCUGAAUGUUUUAAUUUGCCUUAAAUUUUGUGUGCAAGCCUGGUUGGAUUUGUAUAAAUUAAUACAUACUAGUGUUUUUUGUUCUAAAAAAAAGGGUAUAAAAUUAGCAGAACACGCCACGUGUCACAUAAUCCGUUAUCUUCUUCUUUAAAUUUGACAUAUAUCCGUUUGUGGGGGUUGAAUAAGCUAAUGGAACGUCAAUAUCAAGUCUUUUUUUUUAAAUUUUUAUUUCACAUUUGAUCGUCAACGGUUUAUCUUUACAUUAAUCACUGCUGAUUAUUUUGUUUUUGUUUUUCUCAAUCUUUUAUGUUUAUGGAUUCCUCAAAAUUUUCCAAUUAUUCUUCUGAUCUAUUUCUUUA